rnacentral:rRNA from 1 species
GGUAGUCCACGCCGUAAACGAUGUCGACUUGGAGGUUGUGCCCUUGAGGCGUGGCUUCCGGAGCUAACGCGUUAAGUCGACCGCCUGGGGAGUACGGCCGCAAGGUUAAAACUCAAAUGAAUUGACGGGGGCCCGCACAAGCGGUGGAGCAUGUGGUUUAAUUCGAUGCAACGCGAAGAACCUUACCUACUCUUGACAUCCAGAGAACUUANCAGAGAUGCUUUGGUGCCUUCGGGAACUCUGAGACAGGUGCUGCAUGGCUGUCGUCAGCUCGUGUUGUGAAAUGUUGGGUUAAGUCCCGCAACGAGCGCAACCCUUAUCCUUUGUUGCCAGCGGUUAGGCCGGGAACUCAAAGGAGACUGCCAGUGAUAAACUGGAGGAAGGUGGGGAUGACGUCAAGUCAUCAUGGCCCUUACGAGUAGGGCUACACACGUGCUACAAUGGCGCAUACAAAGAGAAGCGACCUCGCGAGAGCAAGCGGACCUCAUAAAGUGCGUCGUAGUCCGGAUUGGAGUCUGCAACUCGACUCCAUGAAGUCGGAAUCGCUAGUAAUCGUGGAUCAGAAUGCCACGGUGAAUACGUUCCCGGGCCUUGUACACACCGCCCGUCACACCAUGGGAAGUGGGUUGCAAAAGAAGUAGGUAGCUUAACCCUUCGGGAGGGCGCUUACCACUUUGUGAUUCAUGACUGGGGUG